rnacentral:rRNA from 1 species
GGCGUCGAGCGGCGGACGGGUGAGUAAUACUUAGGAAUCUACCUAGUAGUGGGGGAUAGCACGGGGAAACUCGUAUUAAUACCGCAUACGACCUACGGGAGAAAGGGGGCAGUUUACUGCUCUCGCUAUUAGAUGAGCCUAAGUCGGAUUAGCUAGAUGGUGGGGUAAAGGCCUACCAUGGCGACGAUCUGUAGCUGGUCUGAGAGGAUGAUCAGCCACACCGGGACUGAGACACGGCCCGGACUCCUACCGGGAGGCAGCCAGUGGGGAAUAUUGGACAAUGGGGGAAACCCUGAUCCAGCCAUGCCGCGUGUGUGAAGAAGGCCUUUUGGUUGUAAAGCACUUUAAGCAGUGAAGAAGACUCCUCGGUUAAUACCCGUGGACGAUGACAUUAGCUGCAGAAUAAGCACCGGCUAACUCUGUGCCAGCAGCCGCGGUAAUACAGAGGGUGCAAGCGUUAAUCGGAAUUACUGGGCGUAAAGGAGCGUAGGUGGCUCGAUAAGUCAGAUGUGAAAUCCCCGGGCUCAACCUGGGAACUGCAUCUGAUACUGUUGAGCUAGAGUAUGUGAGAGGAAGGUAGAAUUCCAGGUGUAGCGGUGAAAUGCGUAGAGAUCUGGAGGAAUACCGAUGGCGAAGGCAGCCUUCUGGCAUAAUACUGACACUGAGGCUCGAAAGCGUGGGUAGCAAACAGGAUUAGAUACCCUGGUAGUCCACGCCGUAAACGAUGUCUACUAGUCGUUGGGUCCCUUGAGGACUUAGUGACGCAGCUAACGCAAUAAGUAGACCGCCUGGGGGAGUACGGCCGCAAGGUUAAAACUCAAAUGAAUUGACGGGGGCCCGCACAAGCGGUGGAGCAUGUGGUUUAAUUCGAUGCAACGCGAAGAACCUUACCUGGUCUUGACAUAUCUAGAAUCCUGCAGAGAUGCGGGAGUGCCUUCGGGAAUUAGAAUACAGGUGCUGCAUGGCUGUCGUCAGCUCGUGUCGUGAGAUGUUGGGUUAAGUCCCGCAACGAGCGCAACCCUUGUCCUUAGUUACCAGCGGGUUAAGCCGGGAACUCUAAGGAUACUGCCAGUGACAAACUGGAGGAAGGCGGGGACGACGUCAAGUCAUCAUGGCCCUUACGACCAGGGCUACACACGUGCUACAAUGGUAGGUACAGAGGGCAGCUACACAGCGAUGUGAUGCGAAUCUCAAAAAGCCUAUCGUAGUCCAGAUUGGAGUCUGCAACUCGACUCCAUGAAGUAGGAAUCGCUAGUAAUCGCGGAUCAG